AGCAAUCUUAGCCCUUGCCAACUCCUCAGCCUUAAAAGCAUCUAGAUGCAUAUCCACAUUAUCCAUAUCUACAUCUAAAUCAGAAAUAACAGCUUGCAGAAUAGUAUUGGGACAAUUAUUCAAAAUGGUGAAAGGAUUAUUAUUAGUACCUGUUCCUGGGUUCUUAGCCAUAACUCUCUGAGCAGCUUUCAUAGCAAUUGGAACCCCAUCCCUUGGAAUUCUAGAACUUGUUCUUGUAGCCACCACCACCCUUUUUGGUUUCCUGGCCUUUUUGGUUUUAGAAGCUUGCCAACCCUGAUCACCAACUUCACCCUCACUGUCUUUAUCCAUGAUUGAUUCAUUGUCCAUUAAAUCUUCUGGACACACAUCCUUUCAUUGCCCUAUGUCUUGUAUAGUACACACACCAGACACAUUCUCCUUUGAAGAUAUCAGAGAGUCCUCUUGAGUAAGUCCUUCCCCC
rnacentral:lncRNA from 1 species